UCCUUCCUUAAAAGAAGCCGACAAAGCACUUUUCCCCUGUAAAUUCAACGUUCAAACUCACAAAUUACGAUUCUUUCAAAUGUUUUCUUCUUUCAUAAUCCAACUUUCGAUCUCUAAUCAAUCUUUUUCUUAAGCCAAAACCAAAAUCCCCAAUUUUUAGGGUUCCUAAUCCACCCAAAAAAGCUCAAAAUCUUCAAAAAGAUCCAUUUCUCAGAGCACUGUUUAUUGGAUAUUUUUUCUUAAAUCAACUUUUUUCGAAUACCCUUUUGAGUUCUGAUGAAAACCCAUUAAUUUUCUUGGUUAGUUUGGUAGUUUUUCAGACACCCUUUUGAGUUCUGAUCAAACCCUGAAAUUUGCUUGGUUAGUAUUGUGGUUUAUUUUAUUUUAUAUGAUCGAAGAUGUAUAGCAAUUUCAAGGAG
rnacentral:misc_RNA from 1 species